GGAGGGUGUAGCUCAGUGGUAGAGCACAUGCUUAGCAUGCAUGAGGUCCUGGGUUCAAUCCCCAGUACUUCCA
rnacentral:tRNA from 1 species